rnacentral:rRNA from 1 species
UGGGGAAUAUUGCACAAUGGGCGCAAGCCUGAUGCAGCCAUGCCGCGUGUAUGAAGAAGGCCUUCGGGUUGUAAAGUACUUUCAGCGAGGAGGAAGGCAUUAAGGUUAAUAACCUUGGUGAUUGACGUUACUCGCAGAAGAAGCACCGGCUAACUCCGUGCCAGCAGCCGCGGUAAUACGGAGGGUGCAAGCGUUAAUCGGAAUUACUGGGCGUAAAGCGCACGCAGGCGGUUUGUCAAGUCGGAUGUGAAAUCCCCGGGCUCAACCUGGGAACUGCAUUCGAAACUGGCAGGCUAGAGUCUUGUAGAGGGGGGUAGAAUUCCAGGUGUAGCGGUGAAAUGCGUAGAGAUCUGGAGGAAUACCGGUGGCGAAGGCGGCCCCCUGGACAAAGACUGACGCUCAGGUGCGAAAGCGUGGGGAGCAAACA